AUGGAGGGUCAGGAUGCUGGUGUUGAGGGUGCGCCUGUGCGGCCGCAGGCGGAUAAGCCAAGGGCAGGUCGACCUAAUCUGCUAGCACCAGAUCUUGUGUGCCCUCAUGCGGAUAGGCCGGGGGGAAGUGGAGCUAUUCAGGGGGCUCAUCUCCCCUCUCGCUCGAUAGCGCCAGAUCCUGGGAUUGAGCUCACCAUGCAAGCGCUUUCAAUCAGUGAGCCGGAAUUUGUUCAUGUUCAGGCUGAGAACCAGGCACAUGAGGAAGGACAGGAUGCAGAGUUUAAUAUAUUGAUGAAGCUUGCUUCUACUGGAGGUCCAAUCAGAGUUCUUUCUCUUCAGGCUGUGCAACAAUCUAUGGCUAGAGCAUGGAGGGAUAAUUAUUACGGUAUAUCUCAAUUAUCAAGGUAUGUUUUUGUGGCGCACUUCCGCUCUUUGGAAGCUGUUAUGUUUGUGAUUACUCGUCAGCCUUGGAGCAUGGGUUCAGGCAACUUUUUGAUUGAAUGGAUGGAUCCGGAGGAACAAGAUAAGAAUAUUCAGGACUACAAGUUUGAUUCAAUUUAUGUCACUGUUCGGAUUUAUGGUAUCCCCAUCAGGUUUAGAACCCAAGCACUGUUAGCAAGCAUCCUGCAAAAAGUGGGGCAGAUUUCAGAGUUUCAUCCGAUUAACAAGAGUAUGAUUUCGGCUAGGCAGGAAUACAUUUGGGGUACUAUUAAAGCUCAGAUCAGUAGACCUGUGAAAGAUAAAGUUUGGGUUUCUUAUGGCGAAGACUCUGCUGGUUGGGCCUAUUUGUUCUACGAGAAGAUUGGCAGAAUCUGUACUUUUUGUGGAAUUAUGUUUCAUAGCGUCCAGCAUUGCAAAGCUAGAAACAGUGUCCUUAUUUCAAGGAGUAGGCUUCAAGUCUCUUUGGAGGGUAUCUCCCCAAAUAAAUUUGGCCAGUGGAUGACUGCUGCAGAUUUGAUUCCUUCUCUUUCAGAAGAACGUAAUCUGUGCAAAGCAAAUUCAUUCUCAUUUUUUGUAAAUCCUCAGUUAGCCAGAUUGCAGAAGCAGUUCAUAGAACACCCUAAGGGCAAGGGGAUAGCUGUGGAUAGCGCGGAUGCGGAGGAAGCUAAUCAAAAAGAAUUAUCUCUUUCUAAGAUUAAUGAGCAAAUUAGAAGGAUAGAAGAAGGUGGUUCAUCUACAAAUGCAGAACUACAGAUAUUGCAGAAUCAGAUGGGAGGUAUGGCUACGAGGUGUAGCUAUAGUCAGGGUCAGUGCCCGAGUCAGAGCGACGCUGUUAAGAUUUCAGCGGUGCCAUCAACUGUAGUUAAUAUGGAGACGGCCUCUGUUCCGGACAAUAACGCAGGAGGAGUUCAAAUUCAAGGCUUGCACACUCCAGUACAGCAGGGUGCUGUUAUUCCUAAUCCAUCACAAAUCUCCAUUUUGUGUGCUCUGCCUGCAACUCACAUCUCAGAUACUGGCCCCUCAUCUGCUAUUCAGGCUACUAAGGAAGACUAUAAUCCAUGUGGGAAAGCUCCUGCUAAUCCAUCCAUCUUCCCAGGUGUUGUGCCUUCCUCGCCUCCGCCUCUUCUCCCUGUCCCCUCUCCGCUCAGAUCCAGUCCCAAGAGGCUGCCAGAGUCGCUGUUUGGGCUUCCGGUUCCGCCGGCGAAGAAGGCCAGCAUCCAUGGAGGUCGUGGGAGGGCAGAAGAUCAGUCUGAUUCGGUGCUCGGAGCUCCGCCUGUUAGGCAAGUUCUCUCUCCACAGCCAUCUGCAACUAGUGGUAUGGGAGCCUUCACAGUGCCUGCUAGUACAGGGAGAGGAAGGACUUUGGACGGUUCUUCGCCUUUUGGAUCCGCAACAUCUCAGGGUGGCUACCAUCGAUAUCGCUAUAGCAGAUGGGAUAUUCCUCCGGCCAGGGGAUAUGGAGGUUUGUGUUCCAAUAUGCAUGGGGUUAUGUGCAAUCGCGCUUGUUCCUCCACUUGGAAGCGUGACAGUGGAAAAGGUCUGCAUGUUGAUAUGGGCGAACAUAGCCCCAGAAUUCAAACCGCAAUGAAAAAACAAGAUGACUUUAGUUCCUCUGGCCAAGGCAAUACAUUGGAUCUUCGGAAUGAUCAAGUUGGAGAAAACAUGGAAUUGAAUGUUGGUAUGGAUAAGAGGGUGGCUGAAUCCUUUCCUCGGGCAACGGCGCAUGGCCCUAACGCGCCUCGGGCGCCAUGA
rnacentral:rRNA from 1 species